GUAUAUAUAUAUUCGUUAUCACAGACUGUCUUUAGAAAGUUUCCACAAGUGGAGCCGCUGGCGUCGAGUGGGAGCAACAGGAUGUGGCCUCUCGUCUUUCUGCUCUGCUUCAUUCAAGGUUUUGGUGUUCAAGGUGUCCAAUGGGAGAUUUUAAUUCAUACAUCGGGCAUACAAGACGCGGGAACAGACUCCGAUAUCUUUCUUACUCUCCAUGGAUCUCGCGGAUCUUCCAAAGAAAUGAUUUUAGACAAUUUAGGCAACGACUUUGAGAGAAAUCAGAUAGACAAAUUCAAUGUUACAACGGACGACAUUGGUGAAGUGUGCUCAGUGACCAUCAGGUCUGCCGGUAAUAACGCUGCUGCUGACUGGCAUCUCGAUAAGAUUACGGUUUGGGGAAAAACAAAUCACAUUUUUAAGUGCGUGUGCUGGAUAUCAGCGACUUCUCAAUUAAGUAGGAAUCUCCAGCCUGAUGUCCCAUGCUCCAGCCAGAAGAAAUAAGUAAACGACCUGGGUGCAGACUUUCAAUCCGGCACUGACCAACCAGCAUAAAGAGUUUAUUCACCUGAUGGAACACCUUGCUCAUCCGCUAACUGGAAUUCCAAGAAAUAUCUGUCAACGUCUACUGUCACUCUUCAACAGUGUCAUGCACACAACCCUGCUAAUGAUUUUCUUUACAAUUGAACAUGUCAAGAAUAUUACAACAAAAGUAACCAAAAGUAUGACACUAUAUUCAAUGAUCUGCAAUUUUGAUACUGUCUAAAUGUUAUUUUGAAAAAAGUACAUUUUCUAAGAAUAAUCGAUUACAGUUAGAAUUAUCAUUUAAACUACUUGAAAAAAACAUUUCGCAGAUAGUUAUUUGAUAUUUGAUUAUUCUGUCACAAGAUGAUAUGAAAAGGUAGGAAACAUACAGGUAACAUGUACACAAGCUAACCCUAAAGAGUAGUCAACUGUAAACACUUCUGCAAGAGUCUACCUUAUAACCCAAGGUCUUUUAUCCCACAAGUAAUUUUAAAGCAAACAAUUCUACAAAAAGAAAAAGAGUGGAAAAUAAUGUCUAAUUUUUUUUUAAAACGUGUUCUAAGAUUUCGAAAUUUAUCGUUGUAAGUGGCAUUGAAAAUGCAAGGUGAAAAUAAAAAAAGUUGAAGCGCAA